AGCGAACGCUGGCGGCAGGCUUAACACAUGCAAGUCGAGCGGGCGUAGCAAUACGUCAGCGGCAGACGGGUGAGUAACGCGUGGGAACGUACCUUUUGGUUCGGAACAACACAGGGAAACUUGUGCUAAUACCGGAUAAGCCCUUACGGGAAGAUUAUCGCCGAAGAUCGGCCCGCGUCUGAUUAGCUAGUUGGUGUGGUAACGGCGCACCAAGGCGACGAUCAGUAGCNGGUCUGAGAGGAUGA
rnacentral:rRNA from 1 species